CCCUGCCAUUUGUACACACCGCCCGUCGCUCCUACCGAUUGAAUGGUCCGGUGAGAACGUCGGAUUUUGCGCACGUUUAUGCUGGUUCGCCAGCAUGGUGCGCGAGAAAAGUUGUUCAAACCUUACCA
rnacentral:rRNA from 1 species